AUGUUUGCUUGGGAGCUGUAAUCAUAAUGUGUU
rnacentral:rRNA from 1 species